rnacentral:rRNA from 1 species
CUAUGCUCAGCCUUAAACAUAGAUAACUCACAGAACAAAACUAUCUGCCAGAGAACUACUAGCAACAGCUUAAAACUCAAAGGACUUGGCGGUGCUUUACAUCCCUCUAGAGGAGCCUGUUCUAUAAUCGAUAAACCCCGAUAAACCUCACCACUUCUAGCUAAACCAGUCUAUAUACCGCCAUCUU